rnacentral:lncRNA from 13 species
CCUAGCCAAUGUUGCUGUUGGAAACUUUGUGAAACAUAAAAUGUGUCAGUUGUUAAAGAAGCAGAAAUGACAUGAACAUUAGAAGUAACAUUAUUAACAUCUCCUUCAUCUCCUUGCAGUGAAUUACCCUCGCCUGGCUUCUGCCUCAUCUGUUCCAUACCAAAUUAUAUCUACACGGUUCCUGCUGUCACAUACCUGCCUCAGGCAAAGCCUCCUGUUUGGAUUUUUCAUUCUUGUAUUUAUGGUUACCAUGAGCCUUGAGGUAAGUAAGAUUUUUAACAUUUUGAGAACUGCAAGAGAGGGGUAUUUUCUGUCCCACAUUAAAAUUGGUCACCCUUCCUCUAUUUUCACAACAGUAUGCUGACAGUUCUGUUGCUGUAUUUCAUUAACUUACUCAACAGUUAUUUACUGUCUACUAUGCAGUAGGUUAAUAGGCUAUAAAACCUUAGAGUACCAGUAAAUAACCUGUUUUACCCACAGGAGCUUAUGGGCUUCUUAAGGUCAUGGAGCAUAUCUUAUUUAUAUAUGCAUUGCCCACAGCUUCUAAUAUCAUACAAUAAACAUAUUAGAAACUUAAUGUUUAUUGAAUAG